GGGGGUUGCUAUUUCCUUCUCCAGGGGAUCUUCCUGACCCAGGGAUUGAAUCUGCAUCUCCUGCAUUAGCAGGCGGAUUCUUCACCACUGAGCCAUCAAGGAAGCCUCUUACAAGGAAAGAACACAGCACAAACAGAGGUAUAGAGGUGUAACAGAAUUUGGAGCUAGAAGCAGCAGCAUCACCUGUCCCUCAUGGCUGUUCCCAGGAUCUUCUGGUGAGGGUGGAGCUUCCCUGGUGGCUCAGCAGUAAGUAAUCCGCCUGCAAAGCGGGAGACCUGGGUUGGAUCCCUGGGUUGGGAAGAUUCCCUGGAGGAGGAAAUGGCAACCCACUCAGUAUUCU
rnacentral:lncRNA from 1 species